UACAGAGGUCUCAAGCGUUGUUCGGAUUCAUUGGGCGUAAAGGGUGCGUAGGCGGUGAGGUAAGUUGGAUGUGAAAUCCCGGGGCUUAACCCCGGAACUGCAUUCAAUACUGCCUUGCUAGAGUAAUGGAGAGGAGAUUGGAAUUCACGGUGUAGCAGUGAAAUGCGUAGAUAUCGUGAGGAAGACCAGUGGCGAAGGCGAAUCUCUGGACAGUAACUGACGCUGAGGCACGAAGGCCAGGGGAGCAAACGGG
rnacentral:rRNA from 1 species